CAGGGACUUCAUUUCACCUGAGAGUCCAGACGGAGCCUUUCUUCUACCCAAGAGUUCUGCUGCCCAUCGGCGCCCUUUUCGACCCUAAGCAUCCUUUGUGUCAAUCCUCGCCAUCUCCGUCGGCUCCCCGCCUACGUUAGGCCAAUUUAGGUUGGUUCCAAAACCUCUCUUGUCAUCGCUGUUGUUCCUUCCUCUUCUUGUUUCGUUUGUUCAGCUUCCGAGGGUUUAUUCGCAAUCUCUCCCGAUCUUUCGGGAUUUCCUUCUUUCUUUUCCCUUGUUGUAGGCACGGACGUAGGAGUUGCCCGGGCGGCC
rnacentral:lncRNA from 1 species